AGCCUCCUUGAGCUUACCACAGCUGUGCUUUUGCACUUACUAUGCAGAAGCAGGAGGCAAAGUGCCCUGUGUACACCGCAACCCAAGCCCUGUGCCGGGUUUGUAUUGUGAAUGGGGCAACAUGG
ensembl:snoRNA